AUACGGAGGAUCCGAGCGUUAUCCGGAUUUAUUGGGUUUAAAGGGUGCGCAGGCGGCCAUUUAAGUCAGCGGUUAAAUCGUGGGGCUCAACCCCAUUCUGCCGUUGAUACUGGGUGGCUUGAUUGCGGUCGAGGUUGGCGGAAUUCGUUGUGUAGCGGUGAAAUGCAUAGAUAUGAGGAAGAACACCGAGUGCGUAGGCAGCUGACCAGAUCGCAAAUGACGCUCAUGCACGAAAGUGCGGGGAUCGAACAGGAUUAGAUACCCUGGUAGUCCGCACAGUAAACGAUGAAUACUUGUUUUCGGCGAUAUAAUGUCGGAGGCAAAGCGAAAGCGAUAAGUAUUCCGCCUGGGGAGUACGCCGGCAACGGUGAAACUCAAAUGAAUUGACGGGG
rnacentral:rRNA from 1 species